rnacentral:lncRNA from 1 species
UUUCCUUCAAGAUGGUUUGUGCUGGCGUAUGGGUGCUGGAAGAAAACAUCCAAGUUAAAAGAGAUGCGUGGGUGCCUGGAGCUGAUAAUUACAGACUACAAAACAGAGAACUUAUUUCAGAAGACAUCAUGGUGGUAGAUUUAAUAAAGGAAACUUCAAGGCAAUGGAAGGAGGGAUUUAUCAAGGAUACCCUCUCUGAAUAGGAUGCUACCAGAAUUCUCAAUAUUCCUCUAUUCAAGGUUUCAUAUGAGGACUUUUAGGUCUAGAAAGGAGAGGCUUCUGAUCAAUUUUCUAUAUUAAGUGCUUAUAGGCUUUUGUUACAAUAGUCUAGUAUGGCUAAUUUUUACAACUAAACAGAUCUCAAGGAAUUUUACAAUAAAAUUAUGGGGAGUCAAUCUUCCCCCAAAAUUGAAGAUUAUAAUAUGGCGAUGCGUGAUGAAUUUUAUUCCAAGAGAGUAGCAACAAAUGCCCUAUGCCCUAUCUGUACGGAGGUAGUGGAGUCUAGAGAACAUAUUUUUCGGGAAUCCUCUAUGACAAAAUAGUUUUUGCUGAAUUAAAUUGAAAGUGGCCUAACUCAAUUGGAAAUUUGGAUUUUACUAGUUGGGUUACGUGGUUGUUGUUAUGAGCUAAAAAGCUAGCUGAAGGAAUUCGCGAAGUUUAAUUGAAACGGGGAGUUUUGGGAACUAAUAAUACGAGGCAUUUUGGUUAUAACAGAAUAGUUCCACGUCAUUUCUUUGUUAGUUUUCUUUAAAUUGCAUGUAUUGCAUUGAAAAGCAGUUAUCAAAUGAGAAGAAAACAAUCUAGUAUUUUCUUAUCCUCUCUAUUUUUCCUCUUCUCUUCUCCGAUUUCCUUCCUUUCUUUACUCAAGAUUUAGGCUCGAAUCAAAGGUAUCAGAGCUUUCACGAUCCCUUUUGAUGGCCGGCGAUGGUGUUUCGACGAGGUUGCAGAAAGAGGUGGGCAAUAUGCAGCAGGAAAUCUCAAAAAUCCAAGAGGAAAUCGCGCAUCUGGAGGCCAAGAUGGAAUCUCGACUACAGGAGUUCAAAACGGAGUUUCGAGGUGACUUACAGUCAUUGUUGGUUCAGUAUUUUGGGCAACCACCAACUGGUUCAUCUGUAAAUGCUGCAGUUGUUAAGGGAAAUGGGGUUUUGGGAGCUCCUCCUGGGUUCUUACCCAAAACCACUGACUUACCGCAAGGACAGACGAACCCUUUGUCACGGAUGGAGGUAGUGUGCAUGUGCGGGAUCCUUCUUAUGAAGCAGGAGUUUCUACUAAAACCAAUCUAUUGGAGUGUCCUAAGUUCGAUGGAAAUGAUUUCUGGGUAUGGUGGACCAAAUUGGAACAAUAUUUUGAAGUGGAAGGCAUACCUGAAGUGAGUAAGGUCCGCAUGGUGAUGUUGAACUUAGAAGGCAGAGCGUUAGAAUGGCAUCAUUUCUAUUCUCAGAGGAAUGGAGGCUUGCAAAUGCCGUCUUGGCCGGCGUAUAUAAAGAGCCUCCAAGAUCGUUUUGGAUGUGGGCCGUUCGGGGAUCCAAUCAGGGAGCUGGUCAACUUGAAACAGCAAGGCUCCAUUUUUAGUUUAAAAUUCAACAAUGUUGGUGUUGUUGCUAAUACCUUGCACUAUGGCACAUUGAACAUGAGCAUUGGUGCAACAGCGAUAGUUUCAAGUGGAACGGGGUGUUUGGAUACAGGGCAGUUCAUGUACCAGAAGGGCGCAACAUUUGGUGCCCCGUUAGGAAAUGGCCAAAUUGAGAACUGGGCUGACUCUGGCCUUGCCUAUAAUAGCCAACAGACUGACACUUCUACUGAUGUUGACGCUGACCAUAAAAAACAACUUCGUGGUGUUCAACAUGGAGCUGUAAUGGUGAAUACGGUGGAUCAACCCAAGUCAAAAAGUGGUGAUCAAAAGACACUUUGCAGGCUUGCUUAGAAUCGAGAAGCUGCAAGGAAGAGUAGAUUGAGGAAAAAAGCCUAUGUUCAGCAGCUUGAGAAUAGUCGACUCAGGCUUACAGAACUAGAGCAAGAGCUUCAAAGGGCACGACAGCAGGGUAUUUUUAUCGCAUCUGGACUUUCUGGGGACCAUGGCCAUACAGUUGCGGGAAAUGCUGCUCUGGCAUUUGACAUGGAAUAUGGUCGCUGGCUUGAUGAACAUCAACAACUGAUAAAUGACAUAAGAUUAGCUGUAAAUUCUCAUAUGGGGGAUAAUGAAUUGUGCGUUCUUGUUGGGGGUGUCAUGGCAUAUUAUGAUGAGGUUUUCAGGCUAAAAAGCACUGGUGCGAAGGCAGAUGUAUUUCACAUGCUAUCUGGUAUGUGGAAAACACCUGCAGAGAGGUUCUUUAUGUGGUUGGGAGGAUUCCAUUCAUCUUAACUUAUGAAUAUCCUUGGAAACCACCUAGAGCCUUUGACAGACCAACAAUUAAUGGGCAUAUGUAAUCUGCAGCAGUCGUCUCAAUAGGCUAAAGAUGCCUUAUCACAAGGAAUGGAUGCUUUGCAACUAUCUUAUACACGGGAUGAUCAAUUACAUAAGAUAAUUUAGAAUAUUCUGCAGCUUCCAAAUCAUGACAAAAAGUGUGCGUGGGAAGGUCAGGUUCUGUUCAGAAAAAAAAGAUAGUGGUGGGGAAGGUUCCCCAAUUGCGACGGGAGUUGUUCCUCUACUUCCACACUAGUGCUAUCGGGGGCCAUUCAGGGGUGCAUGUUACCCGAAAACGGUUGAAUCUUUACCCUAAGACACGACAUGGGAAUCCUUCACUGCAAUUCAAGCCAAAUUUCCUCAUUUUUAGCCUUGAGGACAAGGCUGUUAUUUGCGAAGGGAGUAUUGUUACGAGCUGAAAAGCUAGCUGAAGGAAUUCGCGAAGUUUAAUUGAAACGGGGAGUUUUGGGAACUAAUAAUACGGGGCGUUUUGGUUAUAACAGAAUAGUUCCACAUCAUUUCUUUGUUAGUUUUCUUUAAAUUGCAUGUAUUGCAUUGAGAAGCAGUUAUCAAAUGAGAAGAAAACAGUCCAGUAUUUUCUUAUCCUCUCUAUUCUUCCUCUUCUCUUCUCCGAUUUCCUUCCUUUCUUUACUCAAGAUUUAGGCUCGUAUCAGUUGUUUGGGAAUAACUCCUUGAAUCAAUGUUGCUUAUUUGUUUGUGGAUUGUGGGCAAUUUGGUUAGUAAGAAACAGAUGCAUACAUGAAAGGAAAAAAGUAACAACAUUAGAAACUACAGGUUUCGUAAGGAGUUACUUGAGAGAAUUGGAUGGGUUGAAAGUGGUUUUACCUAUCAAGCCGAAAGUAGAGGAGUUGUGGAAACCACCAAAAAGCCCUUUUGUGAAAAUUAACUUUGAUGUCACGUUUAGAAAAGAGGAGCACAAGUCUUGUUCUGGAAUUGUAGUAAGGGACUCGGAGGGGAUGGUUUUAGGAUCGAGGGUGGUUCAUAAUGGGUGGGUUGCUUUGGUUUUUGCGGUUGAGGCCACUGUAUGUUCUCAAGGGCUCCAAAUGGGGUUGGAUCUGGGAGCCAUAGCAGUAAGGGUCGAGGGCGAUGCUUUAUCAGUAAUAAAGAAGUUACAAAAGGUGGAGGAGGAUAAAUCGGAGAUUAGUGCUACCAUUAAAGUCUGUCUUUGGUCAAGCAAAGGUUUUCAAAUGUGUAAGUUCGUUAAUGGAAAAAGGUCGAAGAAGGAAUGCGUAAAACUACUAAUGGGCAUCGUUUUAAUUUCUGUUUUGAUGAAGCUUGGGGAAGGGAAAAGUUUCGGAAAGUGGAAGGGUUGAAGGAUGUGAAAGCUGUGUAAAAUCAGGAGAUAUUUUGUUACCUCCGGAGUUGUGCUAAUCUUUAAUACUGUUGAUGCAUUCUGUUUUUCUAGAACAAUCUCUUUUCUUUUGUUAGGUUGGGGUUGGUAUGUUGAUUUUGACCAAUUUAUAUUUUGGGCUCUCCGGGCUUUGUUUUUAAUAAUAAAAAUCUAACAAUUUCUCAAAAAAAGUAAACUAUGC